GCGGCGCGUCAGCACCAACCAGCGCGUGACCUUCGACCUCGACCCGUCGGGCCGGUUCCUGGUGAGCGGUGACACCGACGGGUUUGUCACCGUCUGGGACACGUUGUCCCCGCCGGGGCCGGGGGACCCCCCAACGCUGCCCCCCCACCUGCGCUUCCGCGCCCUCCACGACUGCGUCAACGGCACCAGCCUCCACCCCGCGCUCCCGCUCUUGGCCACGGCCUCGGGGCAGCGGCUGCUCCCCCCCCCCCC
rnacentral:lncRNA from 1 species